AUUGAACGCUGGCGGCAGGCCUAACACAUGCAAGUCGAACGAGUGGCGGACGGGUGAGUAAUGUCUGGGAAACUGCCUGAUGGAGGGGGAUAACUACUGGAAACGGUCGCUAAUACCGCAUCCCAUCGGAUGUGCCCAGAUGGGAUUAGCUAGGAGGUGGGGUAACGGCUAACCUAGGCGACGAUCCCUAGCUGGUCUGAGAGGAUGACCAGCCACACGGGAACUGAGACACGGUCCAGACUCCUACGGGAGGCAGCAGUGGGGAAUAUUGCGCAAUGGGCGCAAGCCUGAGGCAGCAAUGCCGCGUGAAUGAAGAAGGCCUUCGGGUUGUAAAGUACUUUCAGUGGGGAGGCGUUACCCGCAGAAGAAGCACCGGCUAACUCCGUGCCAGCAGCCGCGGUAAUUC
rnacentral:rRNA from 1 species